UAACGCGUGGGUAACCUGCCCUUUUGUGGGGGAACAACUUCGAGAAAUCGGAGCUAAUACCGCAUAAGAAUAGAGGAUCGCAUGAUUCUUUAAGGAAAGAUGGCCUCUGAAGAUGCUAUCGCAAAAGGAUGGACCCGCGUCUGAUUAGCUAGUUGGAAGGGUAACGGCCUACCAAGGCAACGAUCAGUAGCCGGCCUGAGAGGGUGAACGGCCACAUUGGGACUGAGACACGGCCCAAACUCCUACGGAAGGCAGCAG
rnacentral:rRNA from 1 species